CGGGGCAUGGCGCAGUUGGCUAGCGCGCAUGGUUUGGGACCAUGAGGUCAGAGGUUCAAGUCCUCUUGCCCCGA
rfam:Candidate division WWE3 bacterium RIFCSPHIGHO2_02_FTLL_38_14 rifcsphigho2_02_scaffold_386, whole genome shotgun sequence.